rnacentral:lncRNA from 1 species
AGUCAUUAAUUUUGCUCCAAAUAACCCCGUGAUUUUGGAUGAUUGAUUAUGGGAAUGCUGCUUUCACUGUACAUCCAAGCUCUCCUGGCCUCAGCGGAUAAGUAUAUGAGAGCACAGUUUUCCUGGUGUCAGGAUAUGAAGAUCCAGGGAACAAAGAACCUCAAAGAACAACACCUGGAUUGUCAAGGUUUGGCCAGCAGUGCACUUUCUCCAACCUUAC